UCGAGAAUCUUCCGCAAUGGGCGCAAGCCUGACGGAGCAAUGCCGCGUGCGGGAAGACGCCCUUCGGGGUGUAAACCGCUUUUUUUGGGGACGAAUCCGUGACGGUACCCAAAGAAUCAGCCACUGCUAAUCACGUGCCAGCAGCAGCGGUAAUACGUGAGUGGCGAGCGUUGUCCGGAUUGAUUGGGUGUAAAGCGCUCAAAGGCUGCUCGGUACGCCUCUGGUUAAAUCUACGGGCUCAACCCGUAGGCCGCUGGAGGUACGGCCGAGCUCGAGGGUGGGAGAGGUGAACGGAAUGGCCGGUGUAGUAGUAAAAUGCGUUAAUAUCGGCUAGAACACCAAUUGCGAAGGCAGUUCACUAGAACACCCCUGACGCUGCAAGAGCGAAAGCGUGGGUAGC
rnacentral:rRNA from 1 species